GAAACGGAGGCUCUGAGGAGGGCGGGAGGGCUGUUUCCAUAGCAAAGGCGGCUGGUUGCAGAUGGCUGAGGGGGAGAGGGGAAACCUCGAAGGAUUGUGCGUGACUUCGGGAGCCUCUUGGGAGGCCGUUCGGAUUCUUUUUUCUCUUUGGUCCCCACCCCGGAAUUCGUGGCCUUAGUUUUACUGUCUGAGAAGAAGGCGUGGAGCCGUCCCCCCCCCCCGCCCACACUCCGCGGUGAUGGGGCAAAUCCAGGGCGAGCAGCUUUGGUUUGCCCAACAAAGGUCUUGAACUAGCUUCUGGUCGUCGUGGCUCCCAUGUGGUCCCAUUCCUGCCCUCUGAAGCAGCAGAGCCCACAUACCAGAUGUUACAGAACCUCCCUGCCUUUGCUGCUCAUCUCUGCAAAUAGAUGACUAGAAUGGUCAACUCCAGGAGACUUCCUAGAUCAGGCUGGAAGAUGACCCUACUCUGGCUCUCUCAUGUCAGUGGCCACCUCUCAUCCACUGAAGAUACUUGCUCAUCCUUUGCCCUUAUGACCUCUGCACAUGGUCCCAACACGGCUACUUUCCUAGCUGCCUGGCGAAGCCAUCUACUCUCCUGUCUCCUGCCGCUGAGAUUUCUCUGGCAUCAGCCGGCCCCGUUCACCGUAUCCCUGAAGCUCCAGAGGACAUGUGUUGAGUUUUUUGAGUGUCUUACAGACGCCUCUUUCCCCAAGCUUGAGGUGAGGAGAAGCAUCCUGCACUAUCACCUGGGGACGGGAGAGUCACAACCCCAAGCCUCCAAUAUGCCCACAAGUCCAGCAUGCUGCAAAAGCCCAAUACAUGGAAGCCGUCCGGGCUUCUGGCCCUGCCUCCCACUGCCCCUGUCCUGACAAGCCCCAAGCCCACCCCUCAGUGACACAGUUAUCGAGAGCCACACCGGGAUUCCACUCCAAGCCCAAACGGGCCUUUCUGGUCUUUGCCAACUCUCUUCAGGGAGAAGAAUUGUUUCCACCCCUCCAUUGUGAGGCCAGGUGGGUGGGUGAGAGGGAGAAAGGUGUCCCAGCCACAGGAGCAGUGUCCCAAGCAGGCACCAAGCAACCCCCACACUGGCUGCCCUGUUGUGUAUUUUUCCUGUUAAGGACUUAAUCGGGGAACCCAUUGAGAGAAUGAUGAGGUCCCUUGCUCACUGUGACCAAAAGCGUUUCAGGUAGUGCCAGGCCUGGAGGCAGAAUGAAAACCUUUGCCCCAGGAAACAGAAGAGGAGAAGGCUGAAGAGAGGAAGGCAGUGGGUGUAGAGGGAGUGAGUCCGAGUUGCACUGGGGAGAAACCUAGGGUCCGAGGGUCAGGCCAGAAGCCCUGGGGGUGGGAUCUAGGUCCUGUUCUCAGAUGGUCUGGAAGGCCAGGCAGUACCCUAGGAACGUCCACACUGGCAAGGCCUAUCUCAGAUGAUUAAAUGACAGCAGACAAAUUUAACUAAACAUGAGUAAUGGGAACACAAAGGGAACAUGAAGAGAAAUAGAAUAUUUUAGCAACAUAAGGAAAUGGGAAGAAAAUGACUUUGCAAUGAAAUGUCAAACUUCUGUGCCUGGAGGAGAUGUAAUCUGGUCAUUAAAGGCUCAGGGAAGCGGGGGAGUGUGUGGUUAUUUCAAGCAAAUUCUAAUUCACUUUAAUUUAAUAACAUAUGGCCAAGUUCUUUUGGGACAGUGUUAGGGGACCGAAAUGGGAACCGGAGGGUGCCAGCCCUGUUGACUUGGGUGUUUCUUGUUUGUUGUUUUACAAUGAGGAGCUGUACUUAUAUUCAUUCAUCCAGCCAUUCAUUCAUUCAUGGAGUGCAUAUU